GGCGAGUUUUGAAGAGGACUUUGACGGCGCUGUAAAGCUAGCAUGUUUGGCUCUUUCCGUUGAAAAUUGCAAAGAACUUCAAAAGAUUUGCUUACAGCAUUUCCUGAGGAAGAAAGAUGUUCUUGCACUAUUUCGGAUGGACACCGCUGCUGCUUCCCGGGGUUAGCCCCGCCCUAGACGAUUGGUUUAAAGAAAUAAAAAACAUUCUACUUGCUGUAGUAUGGUCUGGCUUUGCGAGACUAUGAUUGGAGUAAUGACCAAUCAGAAGUUGGGGUGAGAGGUCAGGAAGACGCACGUUAAGGGAACGUGGCGCAUUUGAAUCUUGACGAGUUGAUAUUUUGACAGCGCGCUUGCAGUCUCCGAUGAGACAGAUGCAUGACCACAUGAAUUUCAAGCUUCAAAUGACUCAAUUUAUGGCCAAAUAAUAUGGCCUAAUUCCCACAUGGAAUAGCGUUUUCUUCCACAACUUCCUCAAAUAAAUAGUACCUGUGGUUCUAUUUAAUGAUACACGCAAUACAUUAACAAACAUCGUUUCUUACCAGUAUUGCAUGCAUUAUCGUUAUCGACUUGUGUUCCUAAUAUGCAUGUGUCCCCCAAAAAAUAUACAUUGCCAUGGACUGUAUUACACGUUACGUGUUUAGUUUGCGUGUGUUUAAACAGAUGUACGCACACAUGAGCGCCCGCAUUCAAUAAUCAUUUUACGCAUACACACACGCGCGCCCGCAUUCAUUCAUUGUUUCAUACGUACACACACGCGCGCCCGCAUUCAUUCAUUAGUUUUAACACUCAAUUGCGGUAAAACAAUGUUUUCUCACAAUCAAAUAGUCAUCAAUCCUAACAGUUAUGGGCUUGUUCACGAUGUCUGUGUCAAGAAAAUAUGUGUUUGCCUUACGUUGUUUGCAGAUGCAUUGAUUUAAAAGUACAAUUUAUUACCGCUGUAUCAGCUGUUCUUUCCCAAAUAAUUUACCAAGACUGUGUGGCUGUAGAUGAGAGUAGCAUAGUGUAUGGGCGAGGUGCACAAGCAACAUUAUGCAUGCGCCCUUAAAAUAGGAUCUGAACAACGCGCCACUGACUUUAAACCAGGUAUUUUCCUGGUUUGUGGCGGAAUUGUUUUCUAAAACUGCAAAAUAGCACCAGGGAACGUUUGCGCCAGAACACGCCUCUUCCUUUCGCCGAACCGCCCCUUGGGGAGCAAGGUCAUUCCCUAAUUUACCGACACGUGGCGGUGGAGGGAAAGGAACGCUCUGCACCAGUUGCAAACUAGCAACGACACAUGCGUCAGUGUAGAAAGUCAAUUGCGCUGGAUGCAAGAUAGGGCCCCAAGUGUGUUGCGGUCAAUACUUUUAGACACACCGGCUCAGGGAAUUCGGGGAGCACACUCCAUUUAUAGCCAGAUACGCUCGGGGGUGCUUCAUUAGCCAGUCAGCCAGUAUACAUUCAAUGCUAGCAUGUCAGGCAGUAGGCCUACACAUUAAAUACUAGCAUGUUUUCAAAUACUAAAUACUACAAAUGCCAUGGGGUCAGGCUCAGCUGUUACCUUCUGCUCCUACAAGUUAUUACUAAAAUCCCCUCCCUCCAUCCCCCUCUCCAUGUCAGUGUGCUGGAGCACCGAGGGCGUGGGGGUCUUCUCCCUGCUGCUGCGGGGUGGUCAGCCGCGGGCGCGCCUGCUCUGGACAGCCGGGGCCGCCACCCUCUCGCCCCUGACCUCCAGCGAGACGGAGGAGAUGGGGGACGACGGGCGGCGGGAGCUGCGGAGCGUGUGUGCCCUGCAGCGGGCCGGCCCCGGAGGGGAGGCGCCAGGGACACGGCCGAGUGGAGGACGUGCUCUGAGCAGAGGCGGUAAGACGGCGGUGAGCCCUGGCGACACAGAGGACAUUGAGUACAUGGACCAGAAGGUGGACGGAGAGAACAACAACAAUGUGGAGAGCUGGGCGGGGACCAAGACGCUGUCCGAAGAGGAGAGCCAUGGGGAGGAUGAGGAGAGCGAUGAGGAAGAGGUUGGGCCCGGGGGCCUGCACAUAAACCGGGUGGACGUGAGGACGCCCGCCCGCCAAGUUAGGAGGGGUCUGCGGGUAUGUGUGGAGAUCUCACACCCGGCCCUCGCUCUGCCUGUCUACAGAACAUGGACAGAGUCAAUACAGGAGGAGUCAUCUUCCAUUUGACCAAUUGGAUACCUGAAACAGGGAUGUUUUUUUUUAUAACCUACUGUAUGUAAUGAUAAUGAAGAUAUCACACUGUAGCUGGUCCAUAUUUCCAUCUUUUCCCAUAGGUUAUUUAUUUAUUUGUAUUAUUAAUCCACUGUCUUUGAUAUCAAUAGUUUUUAGUCUGUAUUUUUAUUUUAUUUUUUAGAAUAGUAGUAAUAGUAAUAAUAGUAAUCCUAUUGUUUCGUUAUACGUGUGUGUGUGUGUGUGUGUGUGUGUGUGUGUGUGUGUGUGUGUGUGUGUGUGUGUGUGUGUGUGUGUGUGUGUGUGUGUGUGUGUGACAGAGAGAGAUUUUAUAAUGUUCAGACUCAUAAUCUAAAGAUACAUGUCCUAGUUUUAUGUGGAAUCCGUUCGGUUUGGGUUUAGUGUAAAAAUACUUUUUUUUUUUACAGAGUUUCUGAUUAAUAAAAGCAACUGACGGUACGCAGGGUCUGGAAAGUCUGUGAAUUAAUGCCACAUGAUGUAUGAAUAAAGUAGUGUGGAU
ensembl:lncRNA